GGGGCAGUGGCCAAAUUGGAUUAAGGCUCCGGUCUCCAAAACCGGCGAUUCUAGGUUCGAGUCCUAGCUGCCCCG
rnacentral:tRNA from 1 species